rnacentral:ncRNA from 2 species
AAAAAACUAAAAGCGCCAGGACUAAGCCGGAACGGAAGCGGUUUAGUUGACGAGGUGGAGGUUUAUCGAAAGUUCGGCGGAUGCCUCCCGGCUGAACGUGCACAGCCGCAGGAAUUCUUAUCUUAAAACAGCGGGGCAACCUGCUGCACAAAGGAUAAGAAAUGCACAUCU